rnacentral:rRNA from 1 species
AUGAGCGCGGAUGUGGCCGGCCGCCGGCGAGGGCGUUCGAGGGAUGAGGGGGAACGAGCAAGGGAGGCGGAGGAGGACGACAGGGAAGGAGAGGAAUAUUUGUUUUUACAGUGCCGUUUACAGGUGCUCCUCGACGCCACCGUCGGGGCGGGGACGGGGUACUCGCAGGCGCGCUACUACACCUCGCUGGGGUUCUUCGUGCUGUCCGUGCCGGGGCUCUGGUUGCUCAUCAAGCGCUCCGUCAAGUCCAAGGGCUCUGCGAUGAGGCUUAACGGUUUGGAGCGAAACCUGAUGCCAGGAAUAGAAGACGCCUUGAUGAAGGAUUCGCCCAAGGCUUCCUCCUUGGAGGUGGAAAAACCUUCCCUUGGUGACAGCGAGGGGCCCACGCUUGCAGGGAAGAAAAGGAAGGAUGUUCCUGGGCGCGAGAAUGGCGGCGUGGCGAAGAGGGUGCUCAGUUUGGAGAAGACUGACUGUGAGGCAACUGCGGGUGACAGUCAGGAGAAGACCAACUGUGAGGCUGUUGCAGAGGAAGGCAGAAGCGGGGUGCAGGCAGUUGAUGCUUGUAAAGAUGAUGAGCAAAUGGAUGAUGCUCCAGUGAAAGUCAAUAAUGCUAUAGAAGUGCCAGCUAAGUGUUCUGAAAAUAAUGUGGAAAGUGCCGGCAUUGCUGAAGAGAACGGCUCGGAUAACCAAAAAAGCAAUUUUGAAUCUGAUGAUAAGAAAGAGAAGGCAUACGAGAAGAUUUACUCUGCAACUCAGGAGGAGGAGAAUGUGUCCUUCUACUUCAGCUCAGUCUUCCCAGCAAGUUAG